rnacentral:rRNA from 1 species
GGUUGCGAUCAUACCAGCACUAAUGCACCGGAUCCCAUCAGAACUUCGCAGUUAAGCGUGCUUGGGCGAGAGUAGUACUAGGAUGGGUGACCCCCUGGGAAGUCCUCGUGUUGCAACCC